CACAAUGCAAGUUUUGAGUUUCAAAAUAUUGAAGAUUUCCUCUACACCAAAGUCCAGGGCCUUGGUCCACAAAGAUAGUAUGCUGCCAUAUUCUAUUAACCUCUACAGUGUAACCCAAAUCCCUGAUCAGGUUCAUACACAAGGAAGAAUUUCUAUACUUUGUCUUCUCCAAUAUUUUAAGGAUAUUAAAUUUCUUAUCCAUGACCUGAUGUUAGAGGUCUCCAUGGUGAACAAACAUUAUCAUGUGAAAGAAAAGGUACAAAGGAACAAAGAUGGCAUUGGGAGGAGGAGAAGAUAUCCUGUUUGUAGAAAAAGAGUCAAUCAGAGAAACAACAUCACUCCAGUAUGCCUUCUUCAUACAGACUACUUCUCCCUUCCUCCUUCUUUAGGGACCCUCCAAUUCUAGAAGUGGGCUGAGUGAGCUCACAGUGCCCUCUGUUGCCUAACAGAAGUACCAUAACACCCCAGGAUAAGGUAUGUCUGAUAUACAGCUGUAAGUAAGUCCUUUUCUGGCAGACCAUUAUUAUCCCAUGGCAGCCUACCCAGUUCUUUGACAUUCACAGAGGUGAGAAGAAAAGAGGAGGGUGAAAGAGGAAAGAGCUGUUGAAGACUGAGUAGGCAUAUGGAAUGUGUGGUCUUUUUUUUCCAUAUUAAAGACUGUUCUCUCUGCCAGGGCUUCUGGGCACAUGGUCUGCAUAAAGAGAACAUUGGCAUUUACCUACGUGUAAAUGGGCAACUCAGCCUCCUUUUGGACCUGUGACAAUUUGAAUGGAGAGGUCCAAUGAAGAAGCCAAAUGCAGGUCCACAGGGCUUUUCAAGAAAGUUUUUGCCUUGAGAUCCCCUUGAGUUCAUCCUCAAAAAUUUUCUGAUAUGAACCCAUGUUGGAAUUUUUCCCAAAGAAAGCAUCCAGUUUUCUUCCUACAGAAUUUUCCUUCUCAAGAUGUGUCAGAGGGCAGACUACAUUUGUUUUUUCCUUCCUCCUACUAUAUCAUCAUUUUAGUGGUCAUUACCCAACAGGAUCUCAGUACCGUUGGUGAAUCCUUUAAAAAAAAGUUCUGAAAAUAAAGGCGAUUCAAGAGAACCUAUGCA
rnacentral:lncRNA from 1 species